rnacentral:rRNA from 1 species
CCUACGGGAGGCAGCAGUGGGGAAUUUUGGACAAUGGGCGCAAGCCUGAUCCAGCAAUGCCGCGUGAGUGAAGAAGGCCUUCGGGUUGUAAAGCUCUUUUGUCAGGGAAGAAACGGUGGGGGCUAAUAUCCCCCACUAAUGACGGUACCUGAAGAAUAAGCACCGGCUAACUACGUGCCAGCAGCCGCGGUAAUACGUAGGGUGCAAGCGUUAAUCGGAAUUACUGGGCGUAAAGCGUGCGCAGGCGGUUUUGUAAGUCUGAUGUGAAAUCCCCGGGCUCAACCUGGGAAUUGCAUUGGAGACUGCAAGGCUAGAAUCUGGCAGAGGGGGGUAGAAUUCCACGUGUAGCAGUGAAAUGCGUAGAGAUGUGGAGGAACACCGAUGGCGAAGGCAGCCCCCUGGGUCAAGAUUGACGCUCACGCACGAAAGCGUGGGGAGCAAACAGGAUUAGAUACCCUGGUAGUCCACGCCCUAAACGAUGUCUACUAGUUGUCGGGUUUUAAUUAACUUGGUAACGCAGCUAACGCGUGAAGUAGACCGCCUGGGGAGUACGGUCGCAAGAUUAAAACUCAAAGGAAUUGACGG